rnacentral:misc_RNA from 1 species
GAUGAAGAACGCAGCGAAAUGCGAUAAGUAGUGUGAAUUGCAGAAUUGAGUGAAUCAUCGAAUCUUUGAACGCACAUUGCGCCCUUUGGUAUUCCAAAGGGCAUGCCUGUUCGAGCGUCAUUUGUACCCUCAAGCUUUGCUUGGUGUUGGGCGUCUUGUCUCUAGCUUUGCUGGAGACUCGCCUUAAAGUAAUUGGCAGCCGGCCUACUGGUUUCGGAGCGCAGCACAAGUCGCACUCUCUAUCAGCAAAGGUCUAGCAUCCAUUAAGCCUUUUUUUCAACUUUUGACCUCGGAUCAGGUAGGGAUACCCGCUGAACUUAAGCAUAUCAAUAAGCGGAGGA